UGCAGUCGAGCGGACAGAAGGGAGCUUGCUCCCGGAUGUUAGCGGCGGACGGGUGAGUAACACGUGGGUAACCUGCCUGUAAGACUGGGAUAACUCCGGGAAACCGGAGCUAAUACCGGAUAGUUCCUUGAACCGCAUGGUUCAAGGAUGAAAGACGGUUUCGGCUGUCACUUACAGAUGGACCCGCGGCGCAUUAGCUAGUUGGUGAGGUAACGGCUCACCAAGGCGACGAUGCGUAGCCGACCUGAGAGGGUGAUCGGCCACACUGGGACUGAGACACGGCCCAGACUCCUACGGGAGGCAGCAGUAGGGAAUCUUCCGCAAUGGACGAAAGUCUGACGGAGCAACGCCGCGUGAGUGAUGAAGGUUUUCGGAUCGUAAAGCUCUGUUGUUAGGGAAGAACAAGUGCAAGAGUAACUGCUUGCACCUUGACGGUACCUAACCAGAAAGCCACGGCUAACUACGUGCCAGCAGCCGCGGUAAUACGUAGGUGGCAAGCGUUGUCCGGAAUUAUUGGGCGUAAAGGGCUCGCAGGCGGUUUCUUAAGUCUGAUGUGAAAGCCCCCGGCUCAACCGGGGAGGGUCAUUGGAAACUGGGAAACUUGAGUGCAGAAGAGGAGAGUGGAAUUCCACGUGUAGCGGUGAAAUGCGUAGAGAUGUGGAGGAACACCAGUGGCGAAGGCGACUCUCUGGUCUGUAACUGACGCUGAGGAGCGAAAG
rnacentral:rRNA from 1 species